AAGGUUUCGGGUACUCUGUGCCCAAACUUCAACCCUAUGUCUUUGUUAAACUGUUUCUUUGCCGGUUUCGGCCGGCAGAAGGUUUCUCAAACUCAUCAUGAAUAUGUUUUCUGAAUUUAAUUAAUAAAUUAAUUA
rnacentral:misc_RNA from 1 species